CUCUAGCCUGGGAACCUCCACGUGCAACCAACAAACAACCCUAAACAGCAAAAAAAAAAAAAUUAAAUUAAAUAUUUUUUUUUAAAGAAAAAUGAGUGUUUGGAAAAACCAACUGAAUAAAGUAACAGCAAAAAAAAAAAAAAAAAAUCAGGGAGGGAGAUGUACGCAAUUUUAGCUUUUUGAUGUGAGUGUUCACAGCAAGACAGUUGCCAGGCUGACGUUUGACUAGGUCAGCCUUUCACAGACUCUCUGAGGUCCGCUGAGCUGCGCACGCAAUCUGAUCUGUACUGAAAGGGCAAGGACUUCAGCUUCUAUAAUGGGGACAACUCACAAAAGAGCAUGUAUUUCAUGCGACAAAAUGCACAGACAACACACACAAAAAGAAGAGCGUCCUGGAAACAAAACCUCCAGGAAAAGAACAACAACAGACAUUUUCUGGCACAAAGGAGAAGGUUAGGAACCCACAGGCUUUUGUGACUACGGGUAGCAAGUUAAGAUGCUGGCUCUGCCCUGUGGCCCUUUUGAGGACACGGGGCUUUCUAGCAGGACUGACGUCCAGCCUUGACUGCCUAUCAAAUUGUCCAUUCAUCCCCUUAGAGGUGUUCUCUCAUUUGACAAUACAAAAGAAAACAGUCCAGGGUGUCCACAAUCCAUUGAAGCAAUUAAAUAUUUUUGAAAGUAUAUACAUCUUCACUAGUAUUCAUAACAUAAGGCAUCUUACCUUAAAAUACAUGCACACAUGCUCACCCAUACACACACACACACAUCAAACAACAAAGCUGCUAUUUGCCUACCCAAAAGAAGCAGGUGGGACCCUGAGAGGGAAGAGUUAAUGAAUGGCCCUCACCUUAGGACAUCUCUGAACCACACUGUUGUCACCUGACCAUUUGUGACCUGCUUAAGGUCAUUUGACUGGAGAUAGCAGCCUGACAAGAUAAAUCUGCUUCUGUGUCUAGGCCCUCCCCUAACCAUCUGUUCUCUUUAAGAAACACAGGCCUGUGGAGGUGUCCGUAGACUGCAGUGGAUGGGACCCCAGGGAACACGGCCAUCUGUUCCUUUUCCUUAAGCCUACACUUAAGUCAUAAUAUUGAAGAUGUGACGUCAUUCCCUUCUAUGACGUCAUAAAACAUCUCCGUACAACAUGGACGCAAGCAGAGAACCAAAUCACACGGGAGGAAGGUGCUUAUUCAAAUACAGAUAAUGGGGAAUGUGUAAAAUAAAUACAUGCCAAUCUGAA